ensembl:lncRNA
GUUUUGGGAGUCUUGGCUGCUCUAAACGCUGUUGUAGUGUAAAUUAUUCCGCAGGCUUUGCAUCAUGAUAAGCAUAUGACUAUGGCAAAGGGAGGAUGUUAGGCGCCUAGUUGCCAUGACGACAGAAAGGCGACUACGUAGCUACUGCGGAGCGCGCGGUGGUAUCGAGCUGAGGGCUGGCGGGGGUUUAGAAGCGGCCGGUCUGUGAAGCGACAGAGGCACGGAAGCGGGCUUGAUACGCUAUUGUCGACAUUGCUGAUAACGACUCCGCUCCAGCGCUGAGUGUUCGAUUACUAAAAUUAUCCAGUAAUCACGAAUGACUGACGAAUGAAAAAUCAUGGAAAUUCAUUGGUCUAAAGGUCUGAUGAGUAUUCCUGCUGCUGCAUCAGUUCAGUCAGGGGGUGGAGAGAUGCAAUCACCUGGGGCUAUUAGCCCCUCCUUCCUCCCGCCCCCAAGUGGAAAAGUUCCAGGUCGCAAGAGGGGUCGCCCACCCCUAAAGAGGCACCCGGAAUAUCAGAGUCGCUACCCAGAAUCCUUCCCACCCAUUAAAGUGCCUAAGAAGAGAGGCAGGAAGCCUGGCUUUAAGGUCAGUAAAUAUCAGAGUGUUUGUGUGUCUGUUUAAAAAUGCGCAUACAUGUGUAGGCCACAGAGAUAAGGCCUUUUUACUGUUCAGACGUGUCUGCCAAAUGCAUAAAUGUCAUCAAGUGGUGCAUUUGAAUGGUGCGUGUGUAACACUUAUGAUGGUUUAGCUAGAGGAUCAGAGUAAUGCUUUGUAGGUAGGCCCAUCUGAUGUUGACUCUACAAGAGAAGGAGGUGAUAGGGUGGUUGUUCUUUGACUGAUGUAUCUGCAGUCUGCUGCUGAGUUAUUUUUAGCCGUGUGCCUGAGCACAAGCCUCAUAAUGUCGCUGCUGCUGAUUUAAAGAGCAACACGCUACCACAAUGUGUGUGCAUGUUAGCAGAUUUGCAGUAGACACAGUGGAAACACACUCUUGUUUAACCUAAACCUAAUGGUUAUUGCUAUUUAUAGCAGUGUUAGGGACAGUUUAUUUUCCAUAACUUAUAUUUUAU